UUUGGCGUCUAAGGUCAACCGUCUGCUACAUGUUCAGCAAUCUUAUAAAGUGCCUAUUAAUUUGUUCUGAUCAGGAAAAACUUUGACUUUUUGAUCCCUGAUGCUCCAGAGUUAAUUGCCAAUUUCUUGGAGGGUGAACAAGAUGCAUCUUGCAAGAGAAAUGCCUUUAUGAUGCUGAUACAUGUUGACCAGGAGCGUGCUCUGUCCUACCUUGUAAACUGUGACAUCAUUUGGAGACAUUCUCCAGUUGGUUUUAGUGGAACUUAUCUACAAGGUGUGCCAUGCCAAUCCAUCUGAGAGAUCCCGCUUUAUUCACUGUAUUUACAAUCUACUGAAUUCCUCCAGUCCAGCUGUGAGGUAUGAGGUGGCCGGCACCUUGGUCACUCUAUCCAGUGCUCCAACAGCAAUCAAAGCUGCUGACAGCUGUUACAUUGAACUUAUUGUGAAGGAGAUUGGCAACAAUGUGAAGCUUAUUGUGUUGGACAGGUUGUUUGCCUUGAAAGAGGUACCAUCACAUGAGAAAGUGCUGCAGGAACUUGUAAUGGACAUCUUAAGAGUGCUGUCAGCUCCUGAUCUUGAAGUACACAGAAAGACUCUGGGGUUAUCACUGGACCUUAUCACAUCAAGGAAUGUGGAAGAGAUGGUUCUGGUUCUGAAGAAGGAAGUGGUGAAGACUAACAACACAGUUGAGCAGGAGGACACUGGCAAGUACCGCCAGCUAUUAGUCCGUACCCUCCACCAGUGCUGUGUGAGGUUCCCUGAUGUGGCCCAGACUGUUAUACCAGUGUUGAUGGAGUUUUUGAAUGAUGCUAAUGAACUGGCUGCUUUGAAUGUGUUGGUGUUUGUGCGUGAAGCCAUGCAGAGAUUU
rnacentral:misc_RNA from 1 species